UGAAGGGCGAUGGAAAUAUGCCAGAGGAGGGAGAGAGAGAUUGAGAAUUUUAGUGAGUGUUAGCGAUAUAGAAGAAGACAGAGUACGGAUGAGAUGCAAGUGAAUUGGAUCUAGGGAGCAAGUGGUGGGGUGGUAGGACUUGAGCAGAGCAGAAACCUCUUCCGCUGUAGUGGGUGCGAAUGAACAUAGAACAGCAGAGGGAGUGAGGUUAGG